GAGUUUGAUCAUGGCUCAGAACGAACGCUGGCGGCAGGCCUAACACAUGCAAGUCGAACGAAGGCCCGGAGCUUGCUCCGGUGUCCUUAGUGGCAGACGGGAUAGUAACGCGUGGGAAUUUGCCCAAUAGUACGGAAUAACUGCGGGAAACUGCAGCUAAUACCGUAUACGCCCUCCGGGGGAAAGAUUUAUCGCUAUUGGAUAAGCCCGCGUCGAAUUAGCUUGUUGGUGAGGUAAUGGCUCACCAAGGCGACGAUUCGUAGCUGGUCUGAGAGGACGAUCAGCAUCACUGGGACUGAGACACGGCCCAGACUCCUACGGGAGGCAGCAGUGGGGAAUAUUGGACAAUGGGCGCAAGCCUGAUCCAGCCAUGCCGCGUGUGUGAAGAAGGCCUUAGGGUUGUAAAGCAC
rnacentral:rRNA from 1 species